AAAAUGUGAGCAAGGGUGGUUUGUAAACACGGCUGUGCUCAGGCCUCACGGGCAACCGAAAGAAUCCUGAACUAGUGACCUGGAAGGGAUACUAGAUGGAAACUUGAGAAAGGACUGCUUACUUGAUAAAAGCUAAGGCAUUCCUGGAAGCGGCAUAAAUAAAGCUCAUGGCCCACCAGCCAGAAAGUAUUCUUGCCACGAGAAAAAGAAUGUGAUAAGUCAUUCAACUUAUGAAAUUCAAGUUACAUGUGAAUUCUGCCAGGCAAUACAAGGACCUGUGGAAUAUGAGUGAUGACAAACCCUUUCUAUGCACUGCGCCUGGAUGUGGCCAGAUCAGACCCUAACACCAACAAGAUUCUUGAAAAACUGUGAAGAAGUGGAUUUGUUUAAUGAGUUGGCAAGUCCAUUUGAGAAUGAAUUCAAGAAAGCUUCAGAAGACAACAUUAAAAAAAUGCCUCUAGAUUUAUCCCCUCUUGCAACACCUAUCAUAAGAAGCAAAAUUGAGGAGCCUUCUGUUGUAGAAACAACUCACCAGGAUAGUCCUUUACCUCAUCCAGAGUCUACUACCAGUGAUGAGAAGGAAGUACCACUGGCACAAACUGCACAGCCCACAUCAGCUAUUGUUCGUCCAGCAUCAUUACAGGUUCCCAAUGUGCUGCUAACAAGUUCUGACUCAAGUGUCAUUAUUCAGCAGGCAGUACCUUCACCAACCUCAAGUACUGUAAUCACCCAGGCACCAUCCUCUAACAGGCCAAUUGUCCCUGUACCGGGCCCAUUUCCUCUUCUGUUACAUCUUCCUAAUGGACAAGCCAUGCCUGUUGCUAUUCCUGCAUCAAUUACAAGUUCUAAUGUGCAUGUUUCAGCUGCAGUCCCACUCGUUCCACCAGUCACCAUGGUGCCUAGUGUUCCAGGAAUCCCAGGUCCUUCGUCUCCCCAACCAGUACAGUCAGAAGCAAAAAUGAGAUUAAAAGCUGCUUUGACCCAGCAACAUCCUCCAGUUACCAAUGGUGAUACUGUCAAAGGUCAUGGUAGUGGACUGGUUAGGACUCAGUCAGAGGAAUCUUGACCACAGUCAUUACAACAGCCAGCCACAUCCACUACAGAAACUCUGGCUUCUCCAGCUCACACAACUCCAUAGACCCAAAGUACAAGUGGUCAUCUGAGAAGAGCAGCUAAUGAAGAUCCUGAUGAAAAAAAGAGAAAGUUCUUAGAGCAAAAUAGAGCAGCAGCUUCAAGAUGCCGACAAAAAAGGAAAGUCUGGGUUCAGUCUUUACAGAAGAAAGCAGAAGACUUGAGUUCAUUAAAUGUUCAACUGCAGAGUGAAGUCACCCUGCUGAAAAAUGAAGUGGCACAGCUGAAACAGCUUCUUCUGGCUCAUAAAGAUUAGCCUGUAACUGCCAUGCAGAAGAAAUGUGGCUAUCAUACUGCUGUAAAAGAUCAUAGUUCAGAAGACAUUUCAGUGCCGAGCAGUCCACAUACAGAAGCUAUACAACAUAGUUCGGUCAGCACAUCCAGUGGAGUCAGUUCAACCUCCAAGGCAGAAGCUGUAGCCACUUCAGUCCUCACCCAGAUGGCGGACAAGAGUACAGAGCCUGCUCUUUCACAGAUCGUUACGGCUCCUUCCUCCCAGUCACAGCCCUCCGGAAGUUGAUUAAAAACCUGCAGUACAACAAUGUUAGCUACUCAUUAGUGACUUCAAAGGGAAAUCAAGGAAAGACCAGUUUCCAUUUAU